GGGAAACAAAUCCCGUUUCUUUCCUCUAUCUAUUCUCUCUCCUCUCAUACAACAGAUCUCCCCACAAUCCUCAACUUUGAUCGAUCGAAGCCACAAAUUCGCUGAAGAAUUCUAAAUUUCGUACUUCAAAUUUCCAGAAAUCAACAAUCUCAAGGUUUGAUCUCUCACUUUUUUGUUGAAGAACCCUAGUUUUUGAGUUGUGUUGAAUUUAUAAAAAUUUUGUCUUAUUGAUUUCGUUUUGAUUUUUCUACUGUAUAUUGAAAGAUUGCUAUUUAAUUUGAUUUUCGAUCUAUAUUUUUUCUUUGUGUUGAUUGCUAUUUUCGAUGGUGUUAAUUAAUUUCUAGGGUUUUCUGUCCUAAUUUUUCAGUUUUAUUUGAGUUUUAUUUUUCUCAAUUGAAUCUCCUGUUUUUUGCUUCAUGACGUUAUUGCUAACAUGAUAUCAAUUUCGAUUUUAUCAAAUAAUACUUACUGAUGUUUUGUCAUGCAAAUUUCGAUUUUAUGCUAUUAUAAUUUGCUAUUAUUAUUUGGCUUCUUUUCCCCCAAAUUUCGAUUUUAUGCUUAAUAGUAAUACUUACUGAUGUUUUGAUCUGCAAAUCAGCUUUGUUUAGCAAAUGUCAAUGGUAAAUAAUCAGCUUUGUUUAGCGAAAAUCAAUGUUUUGAGGCAGAUUGUUAAUGUUGUUUGAUUGCUAUUGCUUUGCUGGUUUUUAAGGCAUAUUGGGUCUCUAAUUUUUGUUACUUGAUUGCUAUUGUUUUGCUUAUGGACAAAUCGACAACCCGAAAGUGCCGAGGUUCAAUUGCCAUUUAUUUUCUGUGUUUCUUGUACAAUGCCUCGACUUAUGCGUUCUAUAAGGAAGAAAAAGCUAAAACAAAUACAAAUAGUAAUUGCAAUGGUUAUUAUUAUGUUGAUGAUGUAUUGGAUGUGGUAUAUAAUUUGUGUUGUUACAAUAAGGGGGGUUCAAAUAAAAGAUAGGAAAAGAAACAAAAAAUUGUUACGGAUGUUAGUAUUGAGAGGGCUUUAUAGGGAGAGUGAUGUGAAAUGUAAGAGGGAGCUUCGCGUUAAUAGAAGAACUUUCAAUAUUAUUUGUGAGAUGCUUAGAGACAUUGGGGGUUUGAGUGGAACAAAAAACAUGUCGCUUCAAGAGAUAGUAGCCAUGUUUUUAUACACGUUGGCUCAUCAUAAGAAGAAUAGGUCUAUUGGACAUUACUUCUAUAGCAGUGGAGAAAUCGUGAGCCGACAAUUUCACCUUUGUCUAAGGGCUUUUCUCAAGUUGCAUGAAGUACUACUUUACAAUCCCACACCAAUAUCGGAUGAUUGUGAAGAUGAAAGGUGGAAAUCCUUCAAGAAUUGUUUAGGGGCAUUAGAUGGGACUUACAUUAAUGUAAAUGUGCCUUCACAAGAACGACCAAAGUAUAGAACAAGAAAAGGAACAAUUUUGUAGGAAUGGUGAUGAUGAUUUGGUGGCCUCUCUCCAAGAUGUUUCUAACAAUUUUGGGAAGAUAUUUGAAAAUAUCAAUGUUAAUCUUGGGACUAUGGCUAGUGCAUGGUCUAAAGCGGAAGAAAGAGAUCAAAUGAUGGAUGAAAAAGUGAACAAGGUUUUGGAUGAGGUGAUGAAGUUAGAUGGAAUUUCUUCAUCCGAAGCUUUAGAGGUUGCUACAAUUCUCAUGGCGGAAGAACAUAAGCUUUGCAUCUUCUAUCAAGCUCCAACUAAUAUGAAAAAACAAUAUGCAAUUGAUCUUCUUAAGAUACUAGAAUUUCAAUGCUUUUGUAAUCAACAACUUAUGUGACUUUGCCUAUAUAUCUAGCAUAUGAUAUAUUAUGGUAAUUAGUGUUGCUCUACAUUGUAUAAUGUAUAUCAAAAGUUAGCCAAGACAUCAAAAAUUAGAAGGAAAGCUAUUUGUUUCCAA